rnacentral:sRNA from 1 species
GGGGCUCUAAAUAUCUGGCGUCUUGCAUUCACACUUGGUUUUUCCUAGGCAUGGACAUAUCUGCCAUUGACUUGAUAAACAUCGAGAGCUUCUCCAGUCGUGUGGUGUCUUUAUCUGAAUACCGCCAGAGCCUACACACUUACCUGCGCUCCAAGAUGAGCCAAGUAGCCCCCAGCCUGUCAGCCCUAAUUGGGGAAGCGGUGCGUCACAGGGGAUACAAAAAUGGGAGAAUAAGGACUGUUGCCAUGUGUACCUGCACUGUAUUUCGUGACCCACCAUGUCUUCCCUAGUUGUGCUUGGUGGGGAGCAGGGCUGUCAUGCAACUGGCAGGUUAGCAGUUUAUUUCUCUGACUGUUUCCUUGACUCUCUCUCCAGGUAGGUGCACGUCUCAUCGCACAUGCUGGCAGCCUCACCAACCUGGCCAAGUAUCCAGCAUCCACAGUGCAGAUCCUUGGGGCUGAAAAGGCCCUGUUCAGGUACCAGUGAGGGCACCUGCCCACAAUCAGGUGCCACUUCUGGUGCCCACUGCUUGUUGGGGGAUCACGGUGAUGGCUGACCAGGGCUCCCUGACCUAUACAGGCCUCUGCUAUGGGGGUGAUGGCCAGUCCUGGUGUCUGAGUGAUUCCCAGGGCCCAGCAAAGGGACCAAGUCUCCAGGUCAGCGACAUUGGAUGCCUUCCCUCUGCCUCUGGGAGCUAUGGGUUGGCAUGCAUUGGGGUAGAGAUCCAAUCUGGCCUGAGGCUCACUCAGGACUUCGGGGUGAGAGGAGGGGAGGAGCUGAGCUGCCUUGGCUAAUGGGGUUGAAAUUUCUGAUCUUAAACUCUCCACUGAAUAUUCUCUCAGAGCCCUGAAGACAAGGGGUAACACUCCAAAAUAUGGACUCAUUUUCCACUCCACCUUCAUUGGCCGAGCAGCUGCCAAGAACAAAGGCCGCAUCUCCCGAUACCUGGCAAACAAAUGCAGUAUUGCCUCACGAAUCGAUUGCUUCUCUGGUAUGGGUGGGGGGUGCUGGCAGGUGUGAGAAGGGGCUGGGUGGCUGGGUGGAUGGGUGGGGAGGCUUGCAACCAUAGCUUCCACAAUGAUGGCAAUAUUUUUCGUCAACAGCAGUUCACCUAGUGAGUGUUGAGACUAUGGGUCUGAGUGAAGCUGAGGGUAGAGGGAACACAGGGUUGGAGUAGUUUGUCUCUUUGGGCUGACAGGCUUUGUCACCCACACACACAUCCAGAGGUGCCCACGAGUGUAUUUGGCGAGAAGCUUCGAGAACAAGUUGAAGAGCGACUGUCCUUCUAUGAGACUGGAGAGAUACCACGAAAGAAUCUGGAUGUCAUGAAGGAAGCAAUGGUUCAGGCAGAGGAAGCGGCUGCUGAGAUUACUAGGAAGCUGGAGAAACAGGAGAAGAAACGCUUAAAGAAGGAAAAGAAACGGCUGGCUGCACUUGCCCUUGCAUCUUCAGAAAACAGCAGUAGUACUCCAGAGGAGUGUGAGGUCAGUAGGCAGCACGGCUCCGGCAGAGAUCCUAGGUUGUAGGAUUUUCAACAGCAGAACAAAGGAUGUGCUGCAUAAGCUGUGGUCUUGAGUCCAGGCUCUUGGACUGAAACAAGGACCUGAAACAUCUAAAACUACCUCUUGAUUCUAUAGGAAGGAGAUAGGUGCUGAACUUGCUCAAGAGCCCAGAGAGCUGGUUGUAGCUCACACCCAUUCCCUGGGCAUGUGUGUUCUGUCCUCGGCUGCCUCCCAGGAGUCCUCAACCUGGGGUAGUGUAAAUUCCUGCUCUGCUUAUUAUCAGACGUGUGUCCGGAGGUGGUAGUGUUUCACAGUGGGGAUGGGGGCAGGGAGGUCCCCAAUGUGCUAAGCUACGUUAUCCCUGAGAUUUUCAUUUAGCACCCAGUUUCUUAAACAGUGUUUCAGGGCCCUGCCUGGAACUUGGCAUGAUGGUUCUGUUGCGACCAACAUAGUGGGUGUUUCUUAAGGUUUUUUUUUUCAAUGGGCUGAGGUAAUUUCUCAUUACAUGUUUUCCUUCUAAUUUGGGACGGCCUUUGGGGUGGAUUUCUAAAGUUAUACCCACACAAUUAAACUAUCCCAGAAACACUGGGCAAUGUUAACUACACAGGUUCCCCUGCCUUGGCUACUUAAUUGCUGAAGAUGUAAUGAGCACUGUUCUCACAGCCUGUUCCCCUGUCCUUCCCUUUAGGAGACGAGUGAAAAACCCAAAAAGAAGAAAAAGCAAAAGCCCCAGGAGGUUCCUCAGGAGAAUGGAAUGGAAGACCCAUCUAUCUCUUUUUCCAAACCCAAGAAAAAGAAAUCUUUUUCCAAGGAGGAGUUGAUGAGUAGCGAUCCUGAAGAGACCGCUGGCAGCACCAGUAUUCCCAAGAAAAAGAAGUCUUCACCCAAGGAGGAAACAGUUAAUGACCCUGAAGAGGCAGGCCACAGAAGUGGCUCCAAGAAAAAGAGGAAAUUCUCCAAAGAGGAGCCGGUCAGCAGUGGGCCUGAAGAGGCGGCUGGCAAGAGCAGCUCCAAGAAGAAGAAAAAGUUCCAUAAAGCAUCCCAGGAAGAUUAGAAUGCAAAUGGACAUUCUCUGGGAGGUGGGGCAUACCAUAGCCCAAGGUGACAUUUCCCACCCUGUGCCGUGUUCCCCAAUAAAAACAAAUUCACAAAA